rnacentral:rRNA from 1 species
GAGUUUGAUCCUGGCUCAGAUUGAACGCUGGCGGCAUGCUUUACACAUGCAAGUCGAACGGCAGCACGGGUGCUUGCACCUGGUGGCGAGUGGCGGACGGGUGAGUAAUACAUCGGAACGUGUCCUUAAGUGGGGGAUAACGCAUCGAAAGAUGUGCUAAUACCGCAUAAUCUCUGAGGAGAAAAGUAGGGGAUCGAAAGACCUUAUGCUUUUGGAGCGGCCGAUGUCUGAUUAGCUAGUUGGUAAGGUAACGGCUUACCAAGGCGACGAUCAGUAGUUGGUCUGAGAGGACGACCAGCCACACUGGGACUGAGACACGGCCCAGACUCCUACGGGAGGCAGCAGUGGGGAAUUUUGGACAAUGGGCGCAAGCCUGAUCCAGCAAUGCCGCGUGAGUGAAGAAGGCCUUCGGGUUGUAAAGCUCUUUUAGUUGAAAAGAAAAAAUCGUGACUAAUAAUCACGAUUUAUGACGGUAUCAACAGAAAAAGCACCGGCUAACUACGUGCCAGCAGCCGGCGGUAA